CUAUUCUGAGGCAUCUGUCUCUCCACCUCUGAGGAGGUUUUCUGGCUAUUCCAAGGACCAGUAAUACACAUCCUCUCCCUAUUACUUUGUUCUAUUCUUUGUGAAGGCUUGGCCUCUAACAAGUAAAGUUCACUUACAUAGUGACACUACAGACCAAAGACAAUGUUAUAGUAGAGUAUAGGACACCUUUGAAGAGCAAGUUCACUCAUGUCUGUAAACCAUUAGAUUACAUGUUUACAGUUUAAAGAUCU